rnacentral:rRNA from 1 species
GACGAACGCUGGCGGCGUGCUUAACACAUGCAAGUCGAGCGACGCUCUUCCUUCGGGAAGAUGACGGAGCGGCGAACGGGUGAGUAACACGUGGGCAACCUGCCCCUAGCUCUGGGACAACUCCUCGAAAGAGGGGCUAAUACCGGAUACGACCUCGGAAGACAUCUUCUGAGGUGGAAAGUUUUUCGGCUAGGGAUGGGCCCGCGGCCUAUCAGCUUGUUGGUGAGGUAACGGCCCACCAAGGCGACGACGGGUAGCCGGCCUGAGAGGGCGACCGGCCACACUGGGACUGAGACACGGCCCAGACUCCUACGGGAGGCAGCAGUGGGGAAUAUUGCGCAAUGGGCGAAAGCCUGACGCAGCGACGCCGCGUGAGGGGAUGAAGGGCCUUCGGGGUUGUAAACCUCUUUCAGCAGGGACGAAAACAGACGGUACCUGCAGAAGAAGCACC